rnacentral:rRNA from 1 species
AUUGAACGUUGGCGGCAUGCCUUACACAUGCAAGUCGAACGGCAGCACGGGAGCAAUCCUGGUGGCGAGUGGCGAACGGGUGAGUAAUACAUCGGAACGUGCCCAGUAGUGGGGGAUAGCCCGGCGAAAGCCGGAUUAAUACCGCAUACGACCUACGGGUGAAAGCGGGGGACCGCAAGGCCUCGCGCUAUUGGAGCGGCCGAUGUCAGAUUAGCUGGUUGGUGGGGUAAAGGCCUACCAAGGCGACGAUCUGUAGCUGGUCUGAGAGGACGACCAGCCACACUGGGGCUGAGACACGGCCCAGACGCCUACGGGAGGCAGCAGUGGGGAAUUUUGGACAAUGGGCGCAAGCCUGAUCCAGCCAUGCCGCGUGCGGGAAGAAGGCCUUCGGGUUGUAAACCGCUUUUGUCAGGGAAGAAAAGUUCUGGGUUAAUACCUCGGAGCGAUGACGGUACCUGAAGAAUAAGCACCGGCUAACUACGUGCCAGCCGCCGCCGUAA